rnacentral:rRNA from 1 species
GCAUCGAUGAAGAACGCAGCAAACUGCGUUAACUGGUGUGAAUUGCAGGUUUAAGAACACUAAACUUUCGAACGCACAUGGCGGCCGCGGAUUCGUUUCGUGGCUGCGUCCGUUCGAGGAGGUUGAUUUUCAUCUUCCGAAAAAAGAAUUCACUUUCUUUUAUCGGUACAGUCGGGGUUUUUGCCGUCUUGACACCCCAAGAAAAGCAACAAAAAGAAAAAUUUCAGUAGAUCGGGCUUGAUUCGCCCAACGGCGGAUCAGUUAAACGGUCCGAUCAAAAUGCGAUCUCCUCGAAUCGGACGCGAUCACCCGCUGAACUUAAGCAUAUCAAUAAGCGGAGGA